GAUGAACGCUGGCGGCGUGCCUAAUACAUGCAAGUCGAGCGAACAGAUGAGGAGCUUGCUCCUCUGACGUUAGCGGCGGACGGGUGAGUAACACGUGGAUAACCUACCUAUAAGACUGGGAUAACUUCGGGAAACCGGAGCUAAUACCGGAUAAUAUAUUGAACCGCAUGGUUCAAUAGUGAAAGACGGUUUUGCUGUCACUUAUAGAUGGAUCCGCGCCGCAUUAGCUAGUUGGUAAGGUAACGGCUUACCAAGGCAACGAUGCGUAGCCGACCUGAGAGGGUGAUCGGCCACACUGGAACUGAGACACGGGCCAGACUCCUACGGGAGGCAGCAGUAGGGAAUCUUCCGGAAUGGGCGAAAGCCUGACGGAGCAACGCCGCGUGAGUGAUGAAGGUCUUCGGAUCGUAAAACUCUGUUAUUAGGGAAGAACAAAAGGGUAAGUAACUAUGCACGUCUUGACGGUAACUAAUCAGAAAGCCACGGCUAACUACGUG
rnacentral:rRNA from 1 species